UACGUAGGUGGCAAGCGUUGUCCGGAUUUAUUGGGCGUAAAGCGCGCGCAGGCGGUCUUUUAAGUCUGAUGUGAAAGCCCCCGGCUCAACCGGGGAGGGUCAUUGGAAACUGGGAGACUUGAGUGCAGAAGAGAAGAGUGGAAUUCCACGUGUAGCGGUGAAAUGCGUAGAGAUGUGGAGGAACACCAGUGGCGAAGGCGACUCUUUGGUCUGUAACUGACGCUGAGGCGCGAAAGCGUGGGGAGCAAACGGG
rnacentral:rRNA from 1 species